rnacentral:lncRNA from 1 species
UCUUCCAGGGCCUUCCGGGGCACGCUGGACUGUUCCGGAAGCAUUUUGGAGCUGUUUUGAGCUUGUUUUGGGGCGAAAAUAGUGCCGUCCGUAACACAACUGUGGAAAGAAGGAAUUUCCUAGAGCCGACGAUAUCCGUUUUACUUUCGAGUUAAUUUGAGUUUUCGUUGAACAACGACUGUAACUGAGUCUACAUCAAGGUUUUAACUAAAAUCCUUUGCUAUUGUAUCAGACGUCCUAUCUUAAUUAUUACACGGUCUAGAGAGUUCUACUACAUUCUAGGUAGAUACAAGAGUGUUCUAGAGAGUUCUAGAGUGCUCUAGAGAGUUCUAGAGAGCUCUAGAGAGUUCUAGAGAGCUCUAGAGAGUUCUUAGAGAUCUCUAUAAAUCUCUACACCUAGUAGAAUCUACAAGAUAACAUAUGAUGCAGUUAUUGAUAAAUGGUAAGUGUGGAAUUCUUUUGAUGUUAGACAGGUGGAGUUACCUAAAAACUUCUUUUGAAAUAUGACGUUUCUGCUCAUUGUCUUCAAACUUAAAUCAAUGAUCUAUUUGGGUUGUUAUCGCCUUCCCGUAAUAGUUAGCAUUAAAUUUGGUUUAAUAGUUAGAGCAUGGUUUUAUCCCUGGCCGAAGAAAAAUAAGAGGAGAAAAAGAAGGAAAUGGGUGCAACUAGAUCUUUUGAUCGGAGGCAUAAAUAAUAAAUUUGGUAGUCUUUUAAGGUGGAUUGUAUAUAUUUUGUAAAUAAAACUUGUUUAUACCAAGUAAUUAACUAAAUAUGGACAUUAAGGAUAAUAAAAUUUCAAAUAAUGUAUAGAAUGAAAAAAUCCUUUUAAUCUAUACCCAUUUUUUAAAACACUUUUAACUUGUACCCACUUUUGAAAUAGCUUUAGCCCUUUUCUCCUCGUCCUCCUCCUCCUCCUCCUCCUCCUCCUCCUUCUGCUUUUGCUGCCGUUUACAAAGAAAUUAUAAAUAAUUACGUGAGUUGGUAUA